AGGGAUGGAAUGAAUCCACAAGACGUACCUGACAGCCCGGACUCCCCGAGCCGGUUGUCAGAUGUAAACAGUCCCGAGCUGGACUCCAUCAUCACAGACUUCAAGUUACAGAUACCGGACGACAAAGAUGGUCUGGAGUCAACAGAUCCAUCGAAUGG